rnacentral:rRNA from 1 species
GCUGGCGGUAUGCUUAACACAUGCAAGUCGAACGAGAAGGAAGAGCUUGCUCUUCCUGAAAGUGGCGAACGGGUGAGUAACGCGUGGGUAACCUACCCUUUGGAAAGGAAUAGCCUCGGGAAACUGGGAAUAAUGCCUUAUAAGAUACGUUUGUCGCAUGGCAUUUGUAUUAAACGCUCCGGCGCCAUAGGAUGGACCCGCGUCCCAUUAGCUAGUUGGUGAGAUAACAGCUCACCAAGGCCACGAUGGGUAACCGGCCUGAGAGGGCGAACGGUCACACUGGAACUGAGACACGGUCCAGACUCCUACGGGAGGCAGCAGUGGGGAAUAUUGCGCAAUGGGGGCAACCCUGACGCAGCAAUACCGCGUGAGUGAAGAAGGUUUUCGGAUCGUAAAGCUCUGUUAUUGGGGAAGAAAAAAAGACGGUACCCAAGAAGAAAGUUCCGGCUAACUACGUGCCAGCAGCCGCGGUAAUACGUAGGGAACAAGCGUUGUCCGGAUUUACUGGGCGUAAAGGGCACGCAGGCGGUUUUUUAAGUCAGAUGUGAAAGGCCACAGCUCAACUGUGGACAUGCAUUUGAAACUGAAAGACUUGAGUAUUGGAGAGGCAAGUGGAAUUCCUAGUGUAGCGGUGAAAUGCGUAGAUAUUAGGAGGAACACCGGUGGCGAAGGCGGCUUGCUGGACAAAUACUGACGCUGA